ACGCUAAUACUGUGAUUUUCCUCAUCUAUGAGAUGUCUGAGGAUUCUCAAAUGACUCAGCCUUCCCAUGAUUUUGACAUCUUUCAUCCAGUCUUCCAAUUUUACUUUCACUUCUGCAACUUUGUCUAGCUCUGCAGGUAAAAGCCGCGUGCCUGGGUAUGUUCCUUGGCUGUGCCCUCAGCAUAAAUUAGAUAGUGUGUCAGUUUGGAGUGCAUAUGGAGGCAAGUCACAGAAAGCUCUGUUUUAGAGGCUGAUGACAAUAAAGGCCAUUUUUCCUGUGUUGGAAAAAGUUCAUGAUGAGGAAAUAUAGACUCAAAGUACUUGUGGAAUUUGCGCAAGGUCAUACUAUAGCACAGAGGAGUGGAUGUUUCUUGACAACCCAGUUUGGUCAUAUGGCAAAAUCAACGAAGAAUCAGCACCCAUGUCCAAGUGAGCUUUCUGCUCGUUUUGAUACAAUUAAUUAUGGUUGGAAGCCAGGCAUGGUGGUGCACGCCUGUAGGCCUGGGCAAGAUGGCAAGACCCCAUCUCUACAAAAA